UAUUGUACCGGAUCGCGCCAGCGAUAUUAUCGGUCCGCCUAGCGAAUUAUUGUCGACGUCGCGACUUUUUUCGGCCGCGAGUUCAGCACGUACCAGCCACGUGAUCCGACCUUCUCCUUUGACCGAAGGCUCAGCCAGACAAUAUAUCGAGGGAAUGGUGGAUCGCGCGUUCGCGAGCGGAGCUUGAUCGCUGCGAGUUCACGAUAUCUCCGUCGCGACAAGAUUUCCGUCGUGUUAGGAACUCACAUCGAGUUCCAGAAGAAGAUUUCCGUCGCGGUUCGCGCGCAGCUGUGACUAUCAAGCGUCAAGAUUUCCGACCGUUCCGUUUCAUUUUACGCCACCGUUCCGACCUCAAACUCAGCUGUUAAGUGUAAUAAAGUUUAUCUGGUGGUUCUCAACGGUCGCAAAUAGGUGCUCAACUCAUUACAUAAAGUCGCAAAAUACACGUCACUACAACGUUUCUAUCACCAAGAAUUUGGCCGUUAGUUACGUGACAGUGACGUGGCAGUUACGUUUUAAACACCAGUUGAGACGUCGCUGCAGCGUUACGUGUGACGAGUUAGCACGUCAUAGUGACGUUUUUAACACGUGUCUGUGCUGGCAGGGACGUUCAGGAAAACGUGACGAUUUCUCGUCCUGGAAUGCGACCGAUUAUGAGUGCCAAUCAUGAAAAAGCGUUGGUGAAUUAUGUUUUACAUGCAUCGGACAUUUAUUUCGGACUCUCGCCAAAGGAUUAAGUUCCCCAGUCAGAAAUAUCUCGUCGAUCGACGUCGAAACGACGUCGUAUGGACAUCGAAACCGUCAUAUUGACGUCGUUCGACGUCGUUUCGACAUCGAGUUGACGAGUCAUUUCUGACUGGGUCGUAAAUUAGCUUACGAAUACGGAAAACGUCUUGACUUGUCAGUGCCGCCUUCCUGGGACGAACGACAACUCGCUGGAGAGGACUGGUUUUCAAAAUUUUUGAAACGCCAUCCGUCUCUUUCAAUUCGAAAACCGCAAUAUUAUUUUUUUUUACAGUAAAUUUCACAGAAAAAGCAAAAAGUGACUACUAGAAGUUAAAUGAUAUUACAUUGAUAACAGCCCCGGUGGUCGAGCUGGCUAAGACGCCCGUCACGGAUU